AAAAAGGAUCAACGUUUCAGUCCUUCUCCAGGGCUUUCAUCAGGAUCCUGGAGAAGGACUGAAACGUUAAUCCUUUUU